rnacentral:rRNA from 1 species
AUUGAACGCUGGCGGCAGGCUUAACACAUGCAAGUCGAGCGGGGGAGGGUAGCUUGCUACCUAACCUAGCGGCGGACGGGUGAGUAAUGCUUAGGAAUCUGCCUAUUAGUGGGGGACAACAUUCCGAAAGGAAUGCUAAUACCGCAUACGCCCUACGGGGGAAAGCAGGGGAUCUUCGGACCUUGCGCUAAUAGAUGAGCCUAAGUCGGAUUAGCUAGUUGGUGGGGUAAAGGCCUACCAAGGCGACGAUCUGUAGCGGGUCUGAGAGGAUGAUCCGCCACACUGGGACUGAGACACGGCCCAGACUCCUACGGGAGGCAGCAGUGGGGAAUAUUGGACAAUGGGGGGAACCCUGAUCCAGCCAUGCCGCGUGUGUGAAGAAGGCCUUUUGGUUGUAAAGCACUUUAAGCGAGGAGGAGGCUACCGAGAUUAAUACUCUUGGAUAGUGGACGUUACUCGCAGAAUGAGCACCGGCUAACUCUGUGCCAGCCGCCGCAGUAAGAC